GGAGGUGGAACGAUUCCAUGAC
rnacentral:siRNA from 1 species